CUUGUGGGAGAGUGGCUUGACUGAAAAUUACUAAUGGCUGUUAAAGCCCAGCUGGGGGAGAAGCUGGCUAAAGGCAUACAUUUAGGAAAGGUUGCAGCAGGAAGGAGCUGCCAUGGGGAAACUACCAGUGUUGUGACCUAGCUGGUGGGAUGAGUCAUGAAGAGAGAGCACCCCAAGUCACAGAGAGAGAGAGGCCACAGGGCAAGUGAACGACAGAAGAGUCGCCAGAUUGGAUGAGAUCUGAUUCCCCAGACUGCGACAAAGAGGCACCCCAGUGCCCUGAGUGAUGACUCUGAGUUCAGCCACAUCAGCUAAAGGUCUUUCAGCUCCAUAAAAUGGAUUGAAUCAGAGUCAUUUCUGAAUAAUGCCUUAACACAAAAUUGGAAUAACAGGCUGGAUUACUUGGCACAAGAUAAAUGAACAAAACGCACAGUAUCCCCACAACCCAUGGUCCACAUGGAGAUUAAAUUUUAACUCCGCCUCUUUGUUCUCCUGAAAUUGUGUUCUCCCUUCCUUUGCUAUCAAGCAUUUCCAUUAAUUCAACAACACCCCAGAAUGUACAUUUGUCAUAUGAAUAGUCACUUGAGAGUCCAGCUCAUGAAAUGCAUUUUGUUUUUGUGUUCUAUGACUUUCAAAGCUUUUGCAGUUUUUGUUGUACUCUAGAAAGAGCAUUUGUUUAGAAUAUUUGUCUUUGCUCUGAAGAAUUUUUCAUCAGACUGCUUCAUGUUGUACUUUGCUGUUUGUGGCCUAAGCAUAUUACUAAGAGGAAGAGAACACAGGCGAUGAAUCUUCACUGAGACAACAGAUGGUACAUGGUGUGUUUAAUAAAAAAAAACCAAUACAUCUUAAUAAGGGAAACUUGAAGCAUUGACAGGAAAAAAGCUAUUAACAUACAUUUUUGGGUUAGGUACAUCACAGUUCCAAAUCACUGAAGGAUUAAAAGGCACAGAUGGGCUCACUUAUGUGCAUGGGUAAUGUGUUGCACUGGAUGGAAUAUGUCCCAUGGGGAGAGGCAGUGUGGUCUCAUAUAUUGAGCUUGGGACUAGGGGACAGUAAUUUUAGUUUUAAUUUAAUCUCUGCUACUGACUUGAGACCAAACUCAGAGAGGAGUCUAUGGGGAAACUAAGGGACUCUAAGAGAGCAUAAUGGACACCAUCAUCUGACCCUCUGGAUGUAUAAUUUAGACUCUCGUGUUCAUUUAGUUUCACACCUAUUUGUGUGAUUUGCACCUCAUAGACUGGAUUUGUG